AUUGUAAAUUUGGACUGCGGACGAUAUAAACGGGACGGGCCAAAUGCGGGUUGGGCCUUUCGGUAGUGCGGGACAUCCAUGAGACCGCAACAGAGCUUCACUUUUGUCUCUUUCACCACCGGAGCUUCUGGCGCUUCUAUUCUCUUCGGUUUCCUCCAUGCUCUGCUCUGUGUCUUCUCCGCUAAAGUUCUCGCCGCUUCCUUCUCCUUCUGGAUAGGCAGUUUAAGCUUUAGAUUGUGUCCGGUGGUAUCUCUUUGUCUUCGAUCUGCGGCAGAGGCUGAACCGACAACAAAGUUGAGCAUGCAUGUACACAAGACUUGUUCAAGGUCGUUUAGGGGUUACUAUUGAGAAAGAAGAUGAAAUGCAUUGCCUUGUUUCUGGAGCAAAUUUUUUGCUCAAGGCUAUUCGACAUGAAGCCUUCACAAACACGGAGAGUGAGAAAGAAUUUGUACAGAUAGAUCCCAAUGACCUGUAUCCAGAGCAGUGGCUUGAGCUGUAGCAUGAGUCAUAUUGUAUUGUUCUUGUAUAAUGAUAUGUUUGUUGAUGUUCUUGUUUUGACCAGUAGAAAAUAUUUUUUUUAAUUAAAAAUUAAUUGACCAAUAAGAAAUUAUUGUUAGA